UCUUACAUACUGUGUUUGGUAUUUAUGUUGUAUAUCAUCCGUUGGUGUUCUGCAUAUCGUUUACAGAUGUCUUUAUCAAUCAUGAAGGCUUUGAUGGUCACCGUUUUGGUUCUUGCAGUUACGAAUGGUACAACCCAAUCAACUACCGAAUCUGUCCCAGAAUGUACACCAGGCGAAAUCCGUCGUCACGCUGAUUGCACAAAAUAUCUACGAUGUUCCGGUGGUGUUUUGCGCUUGAUAACUUGUCGAAGUGGACUCCAAUUCAGUGUCUUGCGGAAACGUUGUAUUACGCCUGAAAUGGCCAACUGUACGCCGAUCACCAUACCUACAACUGAAACUACUGCCGAGGCCACUACCACUACACCCACGACUACUGCCGAGGCCACUACCACCACUUUCACGACUUCAACUACCAAAAGGACUCCUUUGAACACAGAAUGCAAAAAUGGAGACCAGAAAUAAAAUAACUAACCACUAACUUUAAGACAACUAUUUUGAUUUUGCUCAGUCCCGCAAUUCCAAUUUAGAACAUUUCUGUAUACGAGAAAACCAUAGACAUAAACACACUUAAAGGGACUAAGAGCUCAUAGGGACGAGUUAAACCUGAAAACAAAAUUACAAUAAAGCACUUUAGAGAUA